UCACUUCUCAGACUAGCACAAAGCGACCAUCUUUGCUGCAGAACCAAGGUUAGCAAUUGAAUUUUCAGGGUAUUGACUCUUCGAGAUGAUCGGUUUUAGCACUCGAUAAAAACUGUAUUUUUUUUCCCCGUCCGGAUUUUUGUGUUCGACCAAUACAGAGAAAGAGGAGAGACGAAAGAAAGGGAGAACAGAACAGGGAAGAAGGAAGAGAAAGAGAAGAGACAGACUGGAAGCUCUUGAUUAAAACAACACAAGUGGAAGUUGCACCAUCUUUGGUUUAAGGCAGAGUAGCAGUCAGGUGCUUUUUUUUUAUGUUGGUUCUGUUCAGAUUAAAUCAGGGCAACCACUACCCCGGCCGGAACUGUGUUGAUCAUUCCAGCUAGAAGGAUUCCCUUUUUGAAGCAUCUUUCUCUUACUUUGCUUUUGGACCUUGCUUUUGUAUUUGUAAAUGCAAUAUUUCUGACCUAAAUCAUAUUAACAAUAUACAAACAUCUUCUUCACCU
rnacentral:lncRNA from 1 species